CCUUCGGGAGCCUAUACAGGUGUUGCAUGGCUGUCGUCAGCUCGUGUCGUGAGAUGUUCGGUUAAGUCCGCUAACGAGCGCAACCCUCGUCGUAUGUUAUAUGUGUCAUACGAGACUGCCGGUAAAAAGCCGGAGGAAGGUGAGGAUGAUGUCAAGUCAGCAUGACCUUUAUAUCCAGGGCUACACACACGCUACAAUGGUCUGUACAAUGGGUAGCCAAGCCGCGAGGCGGAGCCAAUCCUGAAAGCAGGCCUCAGUUCAGAUUGCAGUCUGCAACUCGACUGCAUGAAGCCGGAGUUGCUAGUAACCGCAGGUCAGCAAUACUGCGGUGAAUACGUUCCCGGGUCUU
rnacentral:rRNA from 1 species